UUCUCCCAGCCACAGAGUCUAUUGGUGUAAAAUUGCUGCUGAAGAUGGGAUGGAGACAUGGUCAUUCAAUCAAGGAUCUACAUGCAAAUUCACAGUAUGAUGCUCGUAGAGAAGCUAGAAAAGCUUUCCUAGCAUUUUCUUCUGAUGAUGCAAAAGCACAUUGUACCAAGUCUGAGACUGGUGAGGAUUACCUUGGAAGCGUAGAGCAGUCUGUUAACAAUGAUGUUCAGACUUCUCAAAGCACCCCUAUUUUUGUUCUCAACCCAAAACAAGAUAUGUAUGGUUUAGGAUAUGAUCCAUAUAAGCAUGCUCCUGAGUUCAGAG
rnacentral:misc_RNA from 1 species